rnacentral:rRNA from 1 species
CCCUUCGGGGCGAAGAUAAGACGGAUUAGCGGCGGACGGGUGAGUAACACGUGAGUAACCUGCCUUUUACACAGGGAUAGCCUCGGGAAACCGGGAUUAAAACCUGAUGAAACUAUCAAAUCACAUGAUUAAGAAAGUUAAAACUCCGGUGGUAAAAGAUGGACUCGCGUCCCAUUAGCUAGUUGGUGAAGGUAACGGCCCACCAAGGCAACGAUGGGUAGCCGGCCUGAGAGGGUGAACGGCCACAUUGGAACUGAGAAACGGUCCAAACUCCUCGGGAGGCAGCAGCC